CACGUAGGGUGCGAGCGUUGUCCGGAAUUAUUGGGCGUAAAGAGCUCGUAGGCGGUGUGUCGCGUCGGCCGUGAAAACCUGCAGCUUAACUGUGGCUUGCGGUCGAUACGGGCAUCACUGGAGUUCGGCAGGGGAGACUGGAAUUCCUGGUGUAGCGGUGAAAUGCGCAGAUAUCAGGAAGAACACCCGUGGCGAAGGCGGCUCUCUGGGACGGUACUGACGCUGAGACGCGAAAGCGUGGGGAGCGAACAGG
rnacentral:rRNA from 1 species